ACUCUCGGCAACGGAUAUCUCGGCUCUCGCAUCGAUGAAGAACGUAGCAAAAUGCGAUACUUGGUGUGAAUUGCAGAAUCCCGUGAACCAUCGAGUCUUUGAACGCAAGUUGCGCCCGAAGCCAUCCGGUCGAGGGCACGCCUGCCUGGGCGUCACGCAUCG
rnacentral:rRNA from 1 species